ACAAAAGGAGCCGGGCCUAUUCGUCAUCGUCUUCCACCUCGAAGUCCGGCACUUGGGAUUUCUCACCAACUAGCACAGCCAUCCAUAAGUGCUCCGAUAGUCAGUCUUUUGUAACGAUUCCAUUUUCUUCAAAUAUACGCGAAUUCAUACGUCACUCAAAAACCCUUUUCGUCUAUUUUUCUUGCUCUCCCAUAAGUAGCUUUACCGCCACGGUUAGGAUUAUUUUAGAUGUUUCAGUCCGUCUAAAGCUUAACAAAUCCUUCACCGCGACAUGGUGCCUACAACCCGGUCUGUAACUUUCUGGCUUACUUCGAACCAUCAUUUCAACAGUGUGACGCGACAUAAAAUUGUGACAAGUGACUGGAAUCGCCGUAUUUCGUUACUCCUAAUUCGACAGGUUGGAAAAUGGACACAGUUUUACCUGUAGGUAUAAGUUGGCGUACGAGUUCCAAUUACACUGUGUUCUUGCACGCACGCGUGGGGUGAGUGAUAUUGCAAAAAGUAGCCUCAUCAGUUGCUUUCGUUCAUCGACAUAGGAAGAGCCCUCAUGCGGAUAAGACUGAGACACCAGGCGAAGAAUCGGUAAUGAAGUGCACCGCAUCGUGGUGGUUAAUGCUGCGCUGCACGAGGCAAGCUGCACUAUGCAACGCGCACCACGGACUCUUGGGCCUCGCGCUGCGCUGACGACCUCCAAUUAUAAUAUAAUAACCGCACGCAUUUGCGCAUGCGCUGCGCAUCUGCUCCCGGUUAUGAUUUUUCGGGGCCUUCGACGGCUCUGGCAUCUGCCGUGUUGUCACCUAGCCACGGUCAUCAUUAACACGGUACCCACUAAUAUCUUUCGGCACACUCUCGUCACAAAAAUCUCAGUGCAUGGAGUACGGAAAAUUGCUGAGAUUAAUUAUUUUCACCGAUACUGUUCUGUCGCAGCCAAAGUGGAGCGAGUGACACUCCAACAACCGUCAACCAAAGCUUGUCAUAAUCUUAAAGUGUCUAUAUUUUAAUUUUAAGCUUUUUCCCUAUUUCUGUAGCAGCCCUGUCUUUAGGUUGCCAAGAGAUUUCCGCAACAUUGCUUUUUCAAAAUUAGUCUUUCAUUAUUAUAAUGAAAUUGUUGAAAUAUGGGAAAUGAGAAACAACUUUAACCACUUAAAUUUUAAUAAUACCUCAACCUUAAAAGGGCAAUCAAACUUGACUAAUCUUGUAGUUUAAAUCUUUAGAAGUCGGCAUUAAUCCUGUCAUGCCCUGCCCUCCUUGGACUGGACUGAAUAAGCCCAAAAGGUAACCGUCUCAAAACUGUGGUAAGCUACAGUUAAUCGUUGGAAGAUAGCCUUACCAGAUUUACAUCAAUGUGAAAUCUCCAAUUAGAAGACUGAUGAACUUUGUUUCAUUUUUCCUAAGUUUUCUGAAGUCAAGAUAUUAAUAAUAUACCAAUAAGAAUUGGUAAAAUAACUUGUUCAAAAAUAAAUUAAAAAUGAAGCAUAAGAAA